rnacentral:rRNA from 1 species
AACGUAGGAGACAAACGUUAUCCGGAGUUACUGGGCGUAAAGGGCGUGUAGGUGGUAUCGUAAGUCUGGCGUGAAAUUUCUCGGCUUAACCGAGGCAGGUCGUCGGAUACUGCGAGGCUAGAGGACGGUAGAGGCGUGUGGAAUUCCUGGUGUAGCGGUGAAAUGCGCAGAUAUCAGGAGGAACACCCGUGGCGAAGGCGGCUCUCUGGGACGGUACUGACGCUGAGACGCGAAAGCGUGGGGGAGCGAACAGG